rnacentral:rRNA from 1 species
GAGCGAACAGAUAAGGAGCUUGCUCCUUUGACGUUAGCGGCGGACGGGUGAGUAACACGUGGAUAACCUACCUAUAAGACUGGGAUAACUUCGGGAAACCGGAGCUAAUACCGGAUAACAUAUUGAACCGCAUGGUUCAAUAGUGAAAGGCGGCUUUGCUGUCACUUAUAGAUGGAUCCGCGCCGUAUUAGCUAGUUGGUAAGGUAACGGCUUACCAAGGCAACGAUACGUAGCCGACCUGAGAGGGUGAUCGGCCACACUGGAACUGAGACACGGUCCAGACUCCUACGGGAGGCAGCAGUAGGGAAUCUUCCGCAAUGGGCGAAAGCCUGACGGAGCAACGCCGCGUGAGUGAUGAAGGUCUUCGGAUCGUAAAACUCUGUUAUCAGGGAAGAACAAAUGUGUAAGUAACUGUGCACAUCUUGACGGUACCUGAUCAGAAAGCCACGGCUAACUACGUGCCAGCAGCCGCGGUAAUACGUAGGUGGCAAGCGUUAUCCGGAAUUAUUGGGCGUAAAGCGCGCGUAGGCGGUUUUUUAAGUCUGAUGUGAAAGCCCACGGCUCAACCGUGGAGGGUCAUUGGAAACUGGAAAACUUGAGUGCAGAAGAGGAAAGUGGAAUUCCAUGUGUAGCGGUGAAAUGCGCAGAGAUAUGGAGGAACACCAGUGGCGAAGGCGACUUUCUGGUCUGUAACUGACGCUGAUGUGCGAAAGCGUGGGGAUCAAACAGGAUUAGAUACCCUGGUAGUCCACGCCGUAAACGAUGAGUGCUAAGUGUUAGGGGGUUUCCGCCCCUUAGUGCUGCAGCUAACGCAUUAAGCACUCCGCCUGGGGAGUACGACCGCAAGGUUGAAACUCAAAGGAAUUGACG